CCCGCCACUAUACCAGCCUGAUUCCUGUGUCUCGGUGUAUUCCAGUGGUGAGCUUAAAGUAACCUCUUCUUAGGAAACAGAGCUUUUCUACACGUGACUUGCUCUGUGCCGAAAGAUUGAGAACACUG